rnacentral:lncRNA from 1 species
UUUCUCUCACUAAACUCUCUCUUCCUCUUCUCUCUCAAGAAGAUCAACCAACCACCGUCCAUCCUAACCCCACCUUAUCUGCCACCACACUCCAUUAAAACUAGAAACGUGACCUAUUACAAACUCAAAUGACAGUGGUUGUUGUUUCGGUGGAGACGGGGUGGUUUCUGGCCGUUAAUUAUUGUUUGCAGAACCCAAAUGAUGUUGCGAUGUUGUUGGAGUUGGAGCUUCGAUUUGGUGUGUUAACUAUGAAGCUCCGGUUAACUUAGAACCCAGAUCUAUGUUAACUAACCGAGUGGCCGAUCUUCACUGAACUCAGAUCUAUGAAGCUCCAGUUAACAUAUAAUGCAUAUAUAGUUUGAUUGUUUGGCAAUAGCGUGCAAAUGUUGUUGAAUUUGUAUUCAUGAACCACUAAAGGAAACAAUAAUUUCAGUAACUUAGAUAAAGAAAUUGGAGAACUGGAAUGUUGGAAUGUUGCUUGGCUGGGAGUUGAGUUUGUUUGGAGUGAAGGAGCACAUUGUUAAUUUUUUAUUUGAUUGGAAAAUUCGAGUUUAAGAACAAAGAUGAAGAAUUCUGAGAAGAUAAAGUUUGUGAACUGGAUUUAGAGAGAGAGAGAGAGUUGAGAGAGAUAGAGAUUAAUCUUUUGUUUUAAAGUAUUUUUUUUUAAUUUUAAUUAAAUGAUUAAGUAUUUAGUUAUUUACAUACUCAGUCUUUGAACGGGUGAAAUGACAAAAUUACUCUCAUGUGACAUGAUUAGUUUUAACAGAAAAAUGUAACCGAGUUAGAAUUAAAGGAUAUAACACUAGUACACAAAAGCUUAAUAGGUGCUGUGAAAUCGAAUUGAUCAUGCGGUGUUGGAGCCGCACCAAUAGUAGAUGCACCAUUAAUUAGGGUUCUCGCCGUGAGGGCUGCCGUUGAUUGGUUAGUAAUUAGGGUUCUCGCCGUGAGGGCUGCCGUUGAUUGGUUUGGGUUCAGGGGAUCGAGAAGAAACUUUGGGAGGGAGAAGAAUUUUGCUGAAAAUUUUGGGGGAAGAAGAUUUCUCAAGACUUUAUGGUGUGCGAGUCAUUUACAAAUGGUGCUAGUCAAAUUUUGUUUGAUGGAAAUUAA